rnacentral:rRNA from 1 species
UUCGAACCGGCUCAGGAUGGCGCUAGCUACAGGCUUACACAUGUAGUCGAGGGGCAGCAGAUCGAAAGCUUGCUUUUGAUGCUGGCGACCGGCGCACGGGUGAGUACGCGUAUCCACCUUCUCUAUCCCCGAGAAUAGCCCGGCGAAAGUCGGAUUAAUGCUCUAUGUUGUAUUUAGAAGACAUCUGAAGAAUACCAAAGGUUUACCGCUAUAGGAUGGGGAUGCGUCUGAUUAGUAGUAGCGGGGUAACGGCCCACCUAGCCGACGAUCAGUAGGGUUCUGAGAGGAAGUCCCCCACAUUGGAACUGAGACACGGUCCAAACUCCUACUGUGUAUGCAGCAGUGAGGAUAUUGGUCAUGGACGGAAGUCUGAACCAGCCAAGUAGCGUGCAGAUGACGGCCCUAUUGGGUUGUAACUGCUUUUAUAUAGGGAUAAAGUCGGGACGUGUCCCCGUGAGACCGAGGAAAAGACCGGCUAAUUCGUGCAGCAGCGCGGUAAUACGAUGUCUAUGUCGUAUCCGAUUUAUUGGGUUUAAAGGGAGCGCAGCUGAUGAUCCACCCGUGACGUGAAUGUACCGCUCACGCUGAACUGCGUCCGAACUGGUAUCUGAGUGAUUCCUGUUGGCGAAUCUGGGGGACGGUGAUGCUUAGAUUCACAAAAACUCCGAUUGCAGGCACACAGCCUUCUAGCCUAAGCUCAAAGUGCGGUAUCGAAGAAUAAAACUGGUAUCCGCGUAACAUGAUGCCCUGUUGAUUCGGGACGCAAGAUGUAACUCCACUGGAACCGGCCGUACUCAGAUACGGCCCACGGAAUUGUAUCUAUACCGAACUACGUGCGCCGAACUAAAUGAGCUUGCUGAGUCUGUUCCUCCGGGGCUUGCUAGACCUUUCUCAGUGGCCGGAGCGAUCCCGAUGAUUAC